rnacentral:rRNA from 1 species
UACGUAGGGUGCAAGCAUUAAUCGGAUUUAUUGGGCGUAAAGGGCGCGUAGGCGGGGGUGCCAGUCAAUUGUGAAAUCCCGGGGCUCAACCUCGGAACUGCAGUUGAAACUACAUCCCUAGAGGGUAGGCGGAGAAAACGGAAUUCCACAAGUAGCGGUGAAAUGCGUAGAUAUGUGGAAGAACACCAGUGGCGAAGGCGGUUUUCUAGCUUAUACCUGACGCUGAGGCGCGAAAGCUAGGGGAGCGAACAGG